rnacentral:rRNA from 1 species
UACGAAGGGGGCUAGCGUUGUUCGGAAUUACUGGGCGUAAAGGGUCUGUAGGUGGCCAACUAAGUCAGACGUGAAAUCCCUCAGCUUAACUGGGGAACUGCGUCUGAUACUGGAUGGCUUGAGUGUGGGAGAGGAAUGCGGAAUUCCAGGUGUAGCGGUGAAAUGCGUAGAUAUCUGGAGGAACACCGGUGGCGAAGGCGGCAUUCUGGACCAUAACUGACACUGAGAGACGAAAGCCAGGGGAGCAAACGGG